UCGGCAGGCGGACUCUCAACCACUGCGCCACCAGGGAAGCCCUGGAUCUCAUACCUUUGAACAGCUGAGAAGGUGUACAACCAGGAUCUCAGUGGCAAGAUCAGCCCACGGGUGCCUACCGCACAGUGGCACUGUGGGCCAGAGUGGAUGGCUCAUGAGGACUUUUCAAUGACAUGUGGACCUUUCCGCAAGAGAUAACCAGGGCUCUUCCAGGCUGCACCACCACUCAGGACAGGUGGGCAGGACUUGGCAAAUUGUCUUAUUCAGCCAGGCAACUCUCCUAUCAUUAAAAGAACAAAAAUCAAGAACCUUUGAAGGCUUUAAUCACUGCCUUCAUAGGAUGUGCUCUCGUUCAACGUAGACACACCUUUGCCUGCAGGGAGGAUGGACGAGGGGCCUGUGAGUGGAGUGAGAAAAGCGAGGCACAUACCUUGUAUGAGGCAUGUCCAUCUGUCCUCUACCGUGGGGGAAGACUGAGCAGGAGAGCGCAAUGUCGCCGCAUGGAUUAGGAGCAAGCGAGGACAUCAAUUAAAGCGCCCCCUGGUGUUGCAGAGCGGCAAUCUCAAGAGGCUUCAGGGGAUGUAGCCUGAACCCAUAAUAAGGAAAGGAUGUUUCUUCCAGCUGCAGAGGUCUGCCCUGACCUUGUCCUCACAGGGCUCCAUUACCGGAUGGAGGAGCUUUUCUUUCUUGCUUCAAAUGGCAAUCUUCCGUUAAAUGUUUGUUCUUUGCUCACCUGAGGGAGGUCUCUUGCCUUGGAUAAGCUCUUUCAAAUCUGGAGGUACCCUCUAGUUUGGGUGUGUUUCAUAGCACAGCAGGUGCUGGAUUCCUAAUUUAACAGAAGAGGAAAUGAGCGUUCUGAGUGACCUGGCCAGACCAGAGUCCACAGCAAGGAUCUAUACCCUGGAAUCACGUAUCGAGACUGUCGACUGAAGAAAAAUGCAAGCCUAAAAGUUGCAAUGGGAUAGCAUCCUGAGAUCCACACCCGGGAUCAUACUUUGACUUCCUGGAGAUUCUUGAGACAAACACAUGCCUUCUCAAAGCCAUAUAGCAAAAUCCUGUUAACUUAGGUCCUAGAUUUCAUACCCGCUGCAAAUUCUGAGAACUUGGGGUGGAGGAAAAUGGCACCUGCCUCUUUGAUAAAUGGGUGGAUUGGGAAGGAUGAUAAAUCAGCCUGGCUUCAGCUGGACGAAUGGAAUAGUUCAAAAGCAGCUCUGAGGUGUAUGCAAAUGCCUGAGAACUGAAAAAUCAAAGAAACUGUGGGUGCUGCUGAGGACCCAGAGAUACAGCUGACUGAGUCUGUAUAUCAGGAAAGAGAUACCUCCUUUUUGGCAAGUUUCCCGAGCUGAAAGAUGGCCUGUGCCUGGAAAUAUGAUCAGCCAUCACUGCUAGCCUGUGGGAACAACCUGCCUGAGAAACACACCGACUGAGAGGAAAGCAGAACUGAGACGUGAGCAGAAAAAGACCGUGACCUCCGUGAGAACGAGGACCUUGUCAUUAUCCCCAGACGUCAGAAGAGUGCCUGUAUGUUCGGGAGAAGCCCUGUCCUCUGCCAGAAUGAUUUUGCUUUGACAUUCCUGGACGCGCAUUUGAGAGAGGGAACCCCAGGCUCCUUGUUUACCUGAGAUGAUGAACAUGAUCCCGGAGUAAUGACCAUGGGGAUGCAUGGUGGUGACCCGAACUUCCUUUCCAUCUGGAAGAUUCUACCACCUGGAAUACUAAUCCGUCUCCAUGGAUAAGUCACCAGAGGAACUGCUUCCAAAGGAGGUAAGAUUUCUCUUUUAGCCUCUCUGUCUCUUAUUUGAUACUCUGAGCAAGGGGCAUAGGCUUAUCAGCUGGUAACAGGUGAGUCAACGGGUUCUAUAGACUGAUUCCCUGCACCAAAGGUGUGACUACAGCAUUCUUUCCAAUGAACAAAGACGUAUUAUCAGACCUGAAAGGUGGGCAGGAUUCAGGGCUGACAGAAGCAAACAGAAAAAUGGGAACUCAGUUUCCGCCCCCCACCCCCCACCGUUGCAAUAUAUCUUAUUCCCCCAAAGUAGCUAUGAACUGACAGGCAAGGCGUGGUUCCCAAUCCUGGCUGUACCUUAGCCUCUCCUGGGGAAACUUCUAAAGAAAUGUUAAUGUUUUGCCUUGAUCCCUAGGGAUUUUCAUUUAAUUGUUCAGUGACAUAAAAUUGCAAGGGAUAAUCUGGGAAAACAGCCCUCAAGAGGGCUUAGGAGGAGGUGCUCAGAAUGGGGAGUUGAGAGGAAAGAGUUCCCAGCGGCUGACAUCGCUAAGCUGGCUAGGGGUUGUGGGUGGGGCUGAUGAGACUGCAAGUCACAAAGUGCCAAAGACUGGACAUGGGGCCUUUGUUGGGGGGGCAGGGGGAGGACCCAUAUCUUCAGGCACAGCUUGGCUUCAGAUUGAAGGCAGGAAUGGCUGGUGGAGGAGCCCGAAGGAGGGGAUCCCAGAGGAGGGAAGUCUAAGGCCAGACCUCAGAGGGAAAGCCCUUCAGAACAAGGUGGGAAGGCUUCGAUUCUCCAGAGAUCCCAGGGAACUGAUAUGGAGGUCCUGUGUAUCUCAUGAAAACCUGCAGACUUCAUGAUACCAGAUGAGCGUCAUUAGGCAAGUCUUUUAACCUCACGGAAGCCAAGUCUCCUCAACUCUGGAGUGGGAUAGAGAUAUUUCUUGCAAAGAAAUGUUGUGAGGAUCAGAUGCUGCUUGGCCCCAGCAUGGAACUAAGCCAGACUCAGAGUGCAGACCAGAACCUCUCAACACAAAUGCAGAGAAAAGAUAUUUAUAGUUUAAUGGCAAUGUAUACUUUCUGGCACCUACAGAGAACUCCAGCUUUUCAAAGGAAAAAUUAAUUGAAUUGAUAAUGAAAUGAUAUUAGCUCCCAAUAAACUUUUUGGACUGGAAGAAAAUAUUCACCAUCCUACCUACUCCCAUGUGUGUGCAGGCAAGAGCAAUGCACAUACAUGCACACGAUUACUUUUCUUCUUGAGAAACAUUGUCUAUUCUAGUACCAUGAGCCUGUCCUCACGAUAGACCCAUUCUUUUCAAGACCUGCUUCCUUACUAGCAAUUCCUUUGACCUGAGUACGAAGUCUCCGAUAUUCACCGCUACGACUAUAGCCCUCUUUGACACCGGGUCAACUUCUCCUCUUAUUCACACCUCCGAUCCGGAGCCCGUGCUGCGAGGGUCAUGCCCUGCGCGCAUCUCACCAGUCCCUCCUGGCUGCGGUGAGAGAAGCAGGCCCUUCCCUACCUCACCUGUGCCCUCGCCUACCUGGCAGGCCCAGGAUGGUGAAGUAGGGCCGGCACUGGGUGAAGCCGGAGCUCUGCUGCACGCAGCUGCGCCAGAGCCCUUCGUACUGGAACACGGCGGUGACAGGGUUGUCGUACAGGUCCUGGGUGCUCCACAUGUCCAUCACCGUGGCAGUGAUGCAGCCGGCCAGGCCCAGCAUGGACAGCAGGAAGCCCACCACUUGACAUGU